rnacentral:rRNA from 1 species
UACGGAGGCUGCAAGCGUUAUCCGGAAUGAUUGGGCGUAAAGCGUCCGCAGGUGGCUGUGUAAGUCUGCUGUUAAAGAGUCUAGCUCAACUAGAUACAAGCAGUGGAAACUACACGGCUAGAGUACGUUCGGGGCAGAGGGAAUUCCUGGUGUAGCGGUGAAAUGCGUAGAGAUCAGGAAGAACACCGGUGGCGAAGGCGCUCUGCUAGGCCGUAACUGACACUGAGGGACGAAAGCUAGGGGAGCGAAUGGG